CACUAGUGAUUAUGGAUCCCCAAUACUUGGAGGGCAAGUCUGGUGCCAGCAGCCGCGGUAAUUCCAGCUCCAAUAGCGUAUAUUAAAGUUGUUGCAGUUAAAAAGCUCGUAGUUGAAUUUCGGGAUUGACACAUCGGUCGUGCCUUAAGGGGUAUGAACUGGUGUAGUCAGUUUCUCACCUUCUGGAGAACCGCGAUGUCCUUAAUUGGGUGCCGCGAGGAACCAGGACCUUUACUUUGAAAAAAUUAGAGUGUUUAAAGCAGGCAUUUUGCUUGAAUACAUUAGCAUGGAAUAAUAAAAUAGGACGGAUGGUUCUAUUUUGUUGGUUUCUAGGAUCACCGUAAUGAUUAAUAGGGAUAGUUGGGGGCAUUAGUAUUCAAUUGUCAGAGGUGAAAUUCUUGGAUUUAUUGAAGACUAACUACUGCGAAAGCAUUUGCCAAGGAUGUUUUCAUUAAUCAAGAACGAAAGUUAGGGGAUCGAAGACGAUCAGAUACCGUCGUAGUCUUAACCAUAAACUAUGCCGACUAGGGAUCGGAUGAUGUUGAUUUUUUAAUGACUCAUUCGGCGCCUUACGGGAAACAGUAUUGGGGAUCCAUAAUCGAAUUCCC
rnacentral:rRNA from 1 species